CGCAUAUUGCGCCCUCUGGUAUUCCGGGGGGCAUGCCUGUUCGAGCGUCGCAAAUCAACUAUCAAGUCGGCUUGUCUGACUUGGGCUUGGACGAUCCGCUGAGAGAACCCUCCGGGGUACUAGGCGCGUCCGAAAAAUAGCGGCGGCUCGGUCGAGCUCCUAGCGCAGUGACAAACCUUUCGCUAGCUGAGAAAUCUCGUCCGUGCCUGCCGGCCAACCCGCCAUGCCCGGGUAAUCGCAUGCUCCUAGAAUUCGACCUCGGAUCAGGUAGGGAUACCCGCUGAACUUAA
rnacentral:misc_RNA from 1 species